CUCUGUGACUCCUACGGGAGGCAGCAGUGGGGGAAUAUUGCACAAUGGGCGCAAGCCUGAUGCAGCAACGCCGCGUGAGCGAUGAAGGCCUUCGGGUCGUAAAGCUCUGUCCUCAAGGAAGAAUAAAUGACGGUACUUGAGGAGGAAGCCCCGGCUAACUACGUGCCAGCAGCCGCGGUAAUACGUAGGGGGCAAGCGUUAUCCGGAAUCACUGGGCGUAAAGGGUGCGUAGGCGGUUUUUCAAGUCAGAAGUGAAAGGCUAUGGCUCAACCAUAGUAAGCUUUUGAAACUGUUAAACUUGAGUGCAGGAGAGGAAAGUGGAAUUCCUAGUGUAGAGGUGAAAUUCGUAGAUAUUUAGGAGGAACACCAGUGGCGAAGGCGACUUUCUGGACUGUAACUGACGCUGAGGCACGAAAGCGUGGGGAGCGAACAGGAUUAGAUACCCUGGUAG
rnacentral:rRNA from 1 species